AUACAGCUGACGAGUCCCAAAUGGGGCGAAACGCGCGUCCUGGAU
rnacentral:hammerhead_ribozyme from 1 species